AUUGAACGCUGGCGGCAGGCCUAACACAUGCAAGUCGAGCGGAUGAAGGGAGCUUGCUCCUGGAUUCAGCGGCGGACGGGUGAGUAAUGCCUAGGAAUCUGCCUAGUAGUGGGGGAUAACGUCCGGAAACGGGCGCUAAUACCGCAUACGUCCUGAGGGAGAACGUGGGGGAUCUUCGGACCUCACGCUAUCAGAUGAGCCUAGGUCGGAUUAGCUAGUUGGUGGGGUAAAGGCCUACCAAGGCGACGAUCCGUAACUGGUCUGAGAGGAUGAUCAGCCACACUGGAACUGAGACACGGUCCAGACUCCUACGGGAGGCAGCAGUGGGGAAUAUUGGACAAUGGGCGAAAGCCUGAUCCAGCCAUGCCGCGUGUGUGAAGAAGGUCUUCGGAUUGUAAAGCACUUUAAGUUGGGAGGAAGGGCAGUAAGUUAAUACCUUGCUGUUUUGACGUUACCAACAGAAUAAGCACCGGCUAACUUCGUG
rnacentral:rRNA from 1 species